AUGGUGUUGCCAUGUUUUUUUUUUCUUUCUGCGCAAAGCAAGGACAAAAGAACUGUUGAGUUUAUUCUCAGAUAAAAAAAGGAAGUUUCACCGUGUCAACAGAGGCACAAUGUCCUGCGCCAUUCUAGUGACUGAUCUUACAGUUGGCAGGAUCGCGGCUGCAGGCUCUUCAGCCGGGCUAUAUCACUGAGACUUCUUUUAUCCCCUCGCAGUGACCUCUUCCUGUUCUACAAAAGGAUGAGUGUGACAGGGUUCUUGCUCUGCGUACAGGAACAGAGGGAAGAGCUCAGCAUGGGUCUUCCUACCUUUCUCCAGGAACUGCCCAGCAGUGUGAAGAGAUUGCAGAGGAACAUCAAACCCAGGCUGCCCUCAUCCAUGUCACCGCCGCUCCACACAAGAC
rnacentral:lncRNA from 1 species